rnacentral:rRNA from 1 species
CCUUAUUUGCCAGCGAGUAAUGUCGGGAACUCUAAGGAGACUGCCGGUGACAAACCGGAGGAAGGUGGGGAUGACGUCAAGUCAUCAUGGCCCUUACGAGUAGGGCUACACACGUGCUACAAUGGGUGGUACAGAGGGCAGCCAAGUCGUGAGGCGGAGCUAAUCCCUUAAAGCCAUUCUCAGUUCGGAUUGUAGGCUGAAACUCGCCUACAUGAAGCUGGAGUUACUAGUAAUCGCAGAUCAGAAUGCUGCGGUGAAUGCGUUCCCGGGUCUUGUACACACCGCCCGUCACACCACGGGAGUUGGGGGCGCCCGAAGCCGGAUUGCUAACCUUUUGGAAGCGUCCGUCGAAGGUGAAAUCAAUAACUGGGGUGAAGUCGUAACAAGGUAGCCGUAUCGGAAGGUGCGGCUGGAUCACCUCCUUA